GAAAAGUUUUAUUCUUACUUUGUAAUUAACAUUAGUUUUGUUUAUACAUGUAAGUUUUAGGGCAAGGAAAAAGAGUAUAAUUGUUACGGGUCCUGGAAGGUAAGUACAUUGGUAGGGCAGUGUUUAGUAUUAUAAAUUAAGGGAACUUAGAUUUAGAAAAUUUUAUAGUAUCGGCAAAAAUCGUGCCAGCCGCCGCGGUUACACGAAGGAUGCAAGUUAAUGGAUGUUGACAGUAACAGUUAAGGUUUGGUUAUCCUAGGAGAAAGAAAAAUUAAUGGGUGUGAUUUUGUGGGUGAAAUCUUAAUAGACCUUUAGAUAUUUUAAAAAAUAGGCACUCCUGAAGCUAAGAAAUUUGAAAAUUUAAACUAGGAUUAGAUACCCUAUUAUUUAAGAUGUAAGAGUUAAAAUCAGAGUAGUAGUAGUUAGGUUCUUUAAACUCAAAGAAUUUGGCGGUGUUUUAGUCCUUUCAGAGGAACCUGUCCCGUAAUCGAUAUUCCUCGUUUUAUCUUACUUGGUUUUGUUAGUCAGUUUGUAUACCGCCGUCGUCAGAAUGUCCUAAAAGGGGGAAAUUUUCUUAAACUUUUAUUGAAGUGGAUGUCAGGUCAAGGUGCAGCUUAUAACUAAGUGGAGGUGGGUUACAAUAAGUUGAUUUAAAUGAAUGGUGAUUUGCAAGGAAUAAGUUGCUGGAAAGUGGAUUUGAUUGUAAUUAUUGAUAUGAAUCAGUUGUGAUUUUUGGCUCUAAAGCAUGCACACAUCGCCCGUCGCUCUCGUUAUUUAAGGCGAGAUAAGUCGUAACAUAGUAGACGUACCGGAAGGUGUGUCUGGAAAGUU
rnacentral:ncRNA from 1 species